rnacentral:rRNA from 1 species
CCUACGGGAGGCUGCAGUGGGGAAUAUUGCACAAUGGGCGCAAGCCUGAUGCAGCCAUGCCGCGUGUGUGAAGAAGGCCUUCGGGUUGUAAAGCACUUUCAGCGGGGAGGAAGGCGUUAAGGUUAAUAACCUUGGCGAUUGACGUUACCCGCAGAAGAAGCACCGGCUAACUCCGUGCCAGCAGCCGCGGUAAUACGGAGGGUGCAAGCGUUAAUCGGAAUUACUGGGCGUAAAGCGCACGCAGGCGGUCUGUCAAGUCGGAUGUGAAAUCCCCGGGCCCAACCUGGGAACUGCAUUCGAAACUGGCAGGCUAGAGUCUUGUAGAGGGGGGUAGAAUUCCAGGUGUAGCGGUGAAAUGCGUAGAGAUCUGGAGGAAUACCGGUGGCGAAGGCGGCCCCCUGGACAAAGACUGACGCUCAGGUGCGAAAGCGUGGGGAGCAAACAGGAUUAGAUACCCGGGUAGUC